rnacentral:rRNA from 1 species
UGGGGAAUAUUGCACAAUGGACGAAAGUCUGAUGCAGCGACGCCGCGUGAGGGAAGAAGGUAUUCGUAUUGUAAACCUCUGUCUUCGGGGACGAUAAUGACGGUACCCGAGGAGGAAGCCACGGCUAACUACGUGCCAGCAGCCGCGGUAAAACGUAGGUGGCAAGCGUUGUCCGGAAUUACUGGGUGUAAAGGGAGCGCAGGCGGAAAAGCAAGUUGAAUGUGAAAUCUAUGGGCUCAACCCAUAAAUUGCGUUCAAAACUGUUUUUCUUGAGUGAUGUAGAGGCAGGCGGAAUUCCAGGUGUAGCGGUGGAAUGCGUAGAUAUCUGGAGGAACACCGGUGGCGAAGGCGGCCUGCUGGGCAUUUACUGACGCUGAGGCUCGAAAGCAUGGGUAGCAAACA